UUAAUAUAAAUUUAUAAACCUAUUGCAAUAAACCAAAUACUUAAACUAUAAGAAAAGAUAGAUACACACACAAGCAAGCAGGUUAAUCCUAUAGGCUACAUGCCCCUCUUUGACAGGGUGGUUUGCAAUGAAUCCCGUUACACAGGUAUAGAUGUAGGUGGUUAAGUAUUUGUGGGGACAGUUUUAACGCUGUUUUUAUAAAAAUGGUAUUUUGGACUCUGGCACGUUUUUGGAGUGGGCACCAUGUAUACAUAUUUAUUAUUUUUAACAUUUGGUGGCCAUUGAGGUUUUUGCUUUGGACUGUUGGAUUUACACUGCAGGCAUUUUAAAAUUAAAUUAAUUCCAAUUGCAAUUUUUUGGAUAACCCAUUUUUUUAAUUUAAUUUUUUUUCCCCUGGAGUUGUUGCAGGCUUAUUAUCCUUAUUUAUUAACUGGAAAAUAGCUUGUUUGGCUUUGUUUAUAUUGUUAGUAAUUUGUAUGAGGUGGGUUUUUUUAGGGCCAAUAAUGACUUUUAACUGUCCCCCUACUGGGGGAAUGUAGACAAGAAAGGUGGAUGUACUUUGGAUAGUAAACUUUUGAUAGGCUGGGUUGGACUGGAUUAUAGUGAUGUUUUUAAAAGUUGGAAUGGGGGAAACAGCUUGAAAUAUUUUUUUUUUUUUUUUUUUUUUUAAUUGAAGUGGGUUGCUUUGGAGUAAAACAAAACUUUGAUUUUGUGACAGGACACUUUAAGGGACCAUAUUGGUACCUCUUGAUUGGUAACCAAGCAAAAUUGGCUAUUUUUAGCAUACGUUACCCUUUUCGUUGGAGUAUUUUUACUUAGUUAGCCUUACUAGGCAUGACGGUGAUGAAUUUAAUUUAUUUUUUAUUUUUUUGCAGUUUACACAGAACAAUGUUUGUUUUAAACAUGUUACACCUACAAAUAUAUUGAGACCCUUUUUUUAGAGCAACAGGCUACUUGUGGUACUUUUUAGGUUUCAGUUGGAGUGUGAUAGACGACUAAGGGAGGUGCAUUCACACAUUCCCUAUAGAUGUUGCCUUUGAGGUGACCUAUAGAAUGGACAGUUACCAAUUACCUGUACACAUUUUUGUUUGGGUUAAAUACUGGUAAUGAGACAUACAAGGAUUGUGCCAUUACAUAAUUUUAGAAAGAGAACCACCAUUUCGGUUGGGGUGAGGUAUUAAAGAUUUUUUUUUUUUUUAAUAGCACACUCAAAUGCUGGCAUGAAUUUAAACAUGGAUUUUUUAUUUUUUUUUAGCCUUUGAAAACAUUUGUGACAAUACCACCAUAACAGUUGCUUAUUUUUAAUUAAGUUAGGAACUUUUGUUAAAUUUAAGGAUUGUAAUGUAUUAGUGAUUGCAUUUACAACAUUUUUUAUAUGCAGAGCAUAUAAUUUUUUAAAUAUUUAUUUUUGUGCUGAUUAUUGUUUAAAGGGAUUAGCUGAUUAAUUUUACAUUGGGUUUUAUUAAAUAGUUGUUAUGCAUAUUAUAAACAGCAAAUUGCUCUUUUUGUGACCAUUUUUUUUUUUUAUCUUUUGUAACAUUGGAUUGACCACUUGGUUGGCUUUUUUUUUGGUAACACAAUUUAUAUGUUUGCGAAUUUUUAAAAUAUUUGCUUGGUUUUAAAUUGACACUUUUGAACCAAAUAGUUCUGUUAGGGAUUCUAAACUUUUGAAGAAGAUUUAAGCUACUCUUUUUUCUGGAAGUGUGUGGUUUAUGGAUCUUAUUAUUCAUCCCCAACAGAACAAUAUUUUGCACUUGUUCAUAGGCUGCAAUUUUAUUUACAAGUUUUACUGAGAAAAAGGAAGCCACUCUGGUAUGCUGACAAUAGCAAAAAAUUUUUAGAUACCACCUAGACAAAUUUAACAUUACAGGAAUAUGCAUAAACUGAACCUGAUUUUUUUUUUUUUUUAUUGUGGGCAUUGUGGUGAGACGACUAGCAGGUUUUGGGUUUAUUAUUGGACAAGUUACAUUAUUUGGUAUUGGAUUGUUUUAAUUAUAGUUAAUAAUUGGACUUUGAACCUUAAGUUUAAAUGUUACAUUUAGUACAUAGUUUUUGCUUUUUGAUUUGAUUUGAAAAUUAGCUAUAAUGAGCACUUUAACCUCAUAUAAACUUAAAUAUAAAAAUAAAUAUAAACUCCCCCCCAUUAUCAGAUUAAAAAAAAAAGCCAUUUGUAGUAAAGUUUUAUAAGCUAUUUUGUGUUUUAGGGAAGUUGAAUUUGUUGAUGAGGAGGAACAGAUUUUACAUCCUCCCCCCUUUGAGUUAUUAUUUAGGGGCCAAUUUUUUUUGGCCACUGAAUGGCAACAAGAUUACUUUAACUAAAUGAUAUUUAAAGGUGACUUCUUUUUUUAAUUUUUUAACCUCGUGUAUAGGACUGUGGAUAAGUUUUGGGUUGAAUAUAAUAGUUUGGGAUUUUUUGUACUGGUAUGUUUUGUUUUACAUGCUUAGGCAAUUGAGCACGACCCUGUCGUUUGGUUUUAUGGGGUUGUAACAUCUGACUUUUAAAUUUGUGAUUUUGGCUUAGUUUUACCCUUAGAGCAAUGAUAAGGGUAUAGUAAAUGAAGACUUUUUUUUCCUACCCUAAACUCAAGUGGCAAAGUACUCCAUAAUGCUCGAUUCACUGAGUUGUAAGAUUUUAAUUCAAUCUUCCCUUGGUAAGCCAAACACUUCUGCUGUUUUUUGUACAUGUUGUGCAUGUCUUGCAAGCGAAAUUUUUUUUUAUUAUUCCUACUUGCUUAGCUACCAGAUUUAGGGUUUUAAUAUUUGCAACAACUGCUACAGGGCAAUCAGAAUUAGAAUCUGAGAGGGUUUUAUCCGGAUUGGGAUUUGAGCUUUUAUUUGAGUUUGAAUCUAUAAUUUUUAUGUUUUGACUUUUUCUACCCAAAUUUUUACAUUUCUUUUUUAAAUCAAAGCUAUUAGAACUUUUCUUUGGGAAUAAUCCUUGAUAAGCAGGGUAACUUUCCAUAAAAUCUCUAUGUUCUACACUUAAGGCAUCUCCACACUGACGCAGGACAUUUUUUAGUCCAUUAAGAUCUGGUGUAGUAGGAUGUUUUACCGGUACACCAGGUGAUACUAGCAUAGGGUGUAGAGGGUGCACAAAAUUUUAGGGACCUAAGCAAUGCUGAUGAUCGCCCAAAUGCCAGUAAGUGUUCACCCAAAGGGACUGGGUCUUCUGAUUUAUAUGGUCCCAAUGUAACACUGUGUGGAGGAGCAGGAAUUGCAUUCCUUGGUGGUUGUAUCUCUCUUUAUUGUAACCUAGAGAUAUAACUUAGAUAAUGUUUUGCCUUCAGGGUCCCAGAGACACAGACAAGGUUUUCAUCUUGAGGCUAAAAGACCAAAAACAUCAAGACACUUGAUCACGGCCUUGGAUAAGCCAAAAGACUACUCACACUUGAUCUUAGCUCACAGAGAGCAGAGAAACUGCUGAGCUGGAAUUGAUAUGCAA